rnacentral:rRNA from 1 species
AGAGUUUGAUCCUGGCUCAGGAUGAACGCUAGCGGCAGGCUUAAUACAUGCAAGUCGUGGGGCAGCAUGACUGUAGCAAUACAGUUGAUGGCGACCGGCAAACGGGUGCGGAACACGUACACAACCUUCCUUUUAGUGGGGAAUAGCCCGGGGAAACCCGGAUUAAUACCCCGUAACAUAAUGAAGUGGCAUCACUUUAUUAUUAUAGCAGCAAUGCGCUUUAAGAUGGGUGUGCGACUGAUUAGGCAGUUGGCGGGGUAACGGCCCACCAAACCUACGAUCAGUAACUGGUGUGAGAGCACGACCAGUCACACGGGCACUGAGACACGGGCCCGACUCCUACGGGAGGCAGCAGUAAGGAAUAUUGGUCAAUGGACGCAAGUCUGAACCAGCCAUGCCGCGUGGAGGAUGAAGGUCCUCUGGAUUGUAAACUUCUUUUAUCUGGGAAGAAAUCCACGAAUUCUUUUGUGGUUGACGGUACCAGAUGAAUAAGCACCGGCUAACUCCGUGCCAGCAGCCGCGGUAAUACGGAGGGUGCAAGCGUUAUCCGGAUUCACUGGGUUUAAAGGGUGCGUAGGUGGGCAGGUAAGUCAGUGGUGAAAUCUCCGGGCUUAACUCGGAAACUGCCAUUGAUACUAUCUGUCUUGAAUACCGUGGAGGUCAGCGGAAUAUGUCAUGUAGCGGUGAAAUGCUUAGAUAUGACAUAGAACACCAAUUGCGAAGGCAGCUGGCUACACGAAUAUUGACACUGAUGCACGAAAGCGUGGGGAUCAAACAGGAUUAGAUACCCUAGUAGUCC